AGCCACUGCCUGUUCACCCCGCUAUCAUCCAGAAGGCGAGCACCCUGUCCAGAAUCAUCUUCUGCUUCAGCCAGUAGACGAUGGACCAGACCACCACGCCCCCUCCUACAAUCACGAUGUCCGUAGGAGCGGUUCUUCUCAAACGGUGUCCAGUCACUGCCAGGCAUGGCGUCUGCUGCCUUCACCCUGAACGCUUUUCACUGGUUCUUUAGAUCUGUGUUGAGAAAUAGGAGGUUGUUAUUGUUUAUUUAUAUUAAGACAUAAGGCACUUCAUUGAAGAAAAGCCUUUGAUGUGUCAUUCUAGCUAUAACUAAGAAAACUACUCAGUUCUACUCAGUUCUUCUCGCAGAGGAACUUGAUGAUAAUACAUGGCAUUCACACCAACUACAAGAAGAAUUGCAACAUAUGAUAUUUUUACCUUUCAUUUAAAUUUAAAAUCAACUGAAAAUAUGUAUGGGAUUCAUUUCAACAUGUCAACAAAAAGUAUUGCAGCAAACAGCACUAAAUGUCAACAAUCAAAAUGCAUGUAGUAGUUUAUCAUCAUUUACAAUAUAUGAAUAUGAAAUGUAAUGAAAACUUUUGGUAAAUUAGCUAACUAGCUAAUUAGGACAUAGCCCAUUCACAGAAGUUAACUACCUUUAGCACCUAUUGUGAUAGUAUCUUCUUCCUGGGGGACUUUUGUUUAGCCCUUACACUUGUGGAAAUUGGCCUAUAUGUACAGGGACAAAUUUAAAUGUUUCUAACAGAAUAACUAUAAAAAGCAUAUGCCUAACCAUGGCAGCAUUUGAAAGAGAACACUUUGGAGAUUAUGGGGAAAUUAUCAGACCAGAAGGUGAGGACACAACAGUUCCCCUGAAAAGACUGAAUCCAAACAUUUCCACUGUUGAUUUUAUGUGCAGUUUACAUUUCCUGUACUUUUCACAGCAUUUGUCAAAAACAGAAUAAAAAAAUACUCUGGAUACAU